GGAGAGUUUGGGGGGACCAACUUGGUCCUCCCACACACCUGAGGGUGAGGAAUCCUAGGGUCCCUGUGCCUUGAUCUCACCUCGACCUGGGAGCCCCCAGUUCCCUAGAGUUGGGGGUGCUGGGGUGCGAAUGCAGCAUCCCUGCGCUCGGCGCCCUGCUAUUGGCCAGAGAUGAUCUCACCGCCUCCCGGCCUGCGCGCGCCUGAUUGGCCGGUGCGGGGAUGCUGCGCUCCGCCGCCGGCGGGGCAGUCCUUCAGGCGGGCUCCGCGAGCGUGUGUGAGCCUGGGGGAGCGAAGAGCCGACGCGCCUGGCAUCUCCCAGGGGGCUCAGGGGGCAGGAGCGCGGAGACCCCCGGACAGGGUCUUAACCCCUUCCCGCCAGCCCGAGCCCAGCAUCCCCUCCAGCUCCCCUCGGCGUCCCAACCCCAAGCAAAGCCAUCCCCAAAGGAUGCUCCGCAGAGAGGCGGGGUCCGGGUCCUCCCCUCCACCCCCUUCCGUUUAACCCUCUCACCGCCGCGGCGCCGUCCUGCACUGCCCGGCCAGCUGGGCUGGGAGAGACCCGCGCCCCAGGCAUGUCCAAGCCCACCUAGAGGGCGGGAGGGUGGCGGGCGCUCUGGCCCCAACCCUGGCAUCCGAAGCAUCCCCCGCGUUUCCUGCUCCUCACUCAGUCUUCAGAUCCCAGUCCGGCGCCCCCGGUACAAUGGGGAGCCAGGGUGCCCAGGUCAGCCGCAAGGGCCAGCGUACCAGGCGGAGGACCGGCAGGACGCCGGAGACCCCAUCUCCCAGUCCCCCCUGCCCCAGCUCUCUCCCUCCUGCGGAGGAGGCAGAAACGGACCGGCAUCUACCGCAGCCCAGAGUCCCAGGAGUGGCCGCCGAACCCUCACCCCGCGGAGCGCCUGGGCGCCCAGAGCUCUUUCCCUGGGAUCUACGACUCACUUGUGGAAAAUGCACCUGUCAAACGCAGCUAAAGCCUGUGCUGACCUCACAGAACUCUUCUGAGCUUUCGCUGAGCUGGUGCAUCUUUGGCCAAAAACCCUGUGGUCCUUUGUGCCCCGUCUUCC
rnacentral:lncRNA from 1 species